rnacentral:lncRNA from 1 species
AGGAAGUCUAAUAUUACAAUAAUAUAUCAACCUAGAAAUAUUCUAUACAAUAUUCUUUACAAAAAGGAAUAUUUACUAAUUAGGAAUUUGGGACAAUUCCCAACAAUCUCCACCUUGGACCAAAUUACAUGAAGUUAAUCUUCAAUCUCUCCAUGACACAAACCUUUUUGUAUCAUAUCACCACGAAAGAGCAAUUGACUCCACCUUCAGUGAAAAUUCCUUUUGUUUUCAUCUUGUGUGCUUUGUGAUCUUUUACUCUUCCAGAAAUCUUCAACCCAAGCUCUGAUACCAAUUGUAGUGCCAACGAAAGCUUUGAUGCCAACAAUGUUAGCUCAAGAACACAAAGAUAAAACAAUCACACAUACGUUACACGAGGUUUUAACGUGGUUCGGCCAACCAUGCCUACGUCCACGGAUGAGAGAGAAUAAUUCCACUAUACAAUAGAGAAUAUUACAGAGGAUAGAACCAGAUACAACUAUUGGGUUCCCGAAACAUCCCAUGUUUCCCCACUCCUUGUAUCCAUACCUUGCUACGAGCCCUCUCGCUCCACCAGGUACCUCCCGUUCUUCCUCACAUCUCUAUCCACCUCGUAUAGUCUCUGUAGGCCCAUCUCCAUCUCAUGACUUUUUCCCCUCAUGACCUAGAAUAUUUAUAGAGAUAUUUCUAACAACCUUCCUUAUUCUAUAAGGAAGUCUAAUAUUACAAUAAUAUAUCAACCUAGAAAUAUUCUAUACAAUAUUCUUUACAAAAAGGAAUAUUUACUAAUUAGGAAUUUGGGACAAUUCCCAACAAUCUCCGCCUUGGACCAAAUUACAUGAAAUUAAUCUUCAAUCUCUCCAGGACACAAACCUUUUUGUAUCAUAUCAUCACGAAAGAGCAAUCGACUCCACCUUCAGUGAAAAUUCCUUUUGUUUUCAUCUUGUGUGCUUUGUGAUCUUUUACUCUUCCAGAAAUCUUCAACCCAAGCUCUGAUACCAAUUGUAGUGCCAGCGAAAGCUUUGAUGCCAACAAUGUUAGUUCAAGAACACAAAGAUAAAACAAUCACACAUACGGUACACGAGGUUUUAACGUGGUUCGGCCAACCAUGCCUACGUCCACGGAUGAGAGAGAAUAAUUCCACUAUACAAUAGAGAAUAUUACAGAAGAUAAAACCAGAUACAACUUUUGGGUUCCCGAAACAUCCCAUGUUUCCCCACUCCUUGUAUCCAUACCUUACUACGAGCCCUCUCGCUCCACCAGAUACCUCCCGUUC